rnacentral:lncRNA from 1 species
AAAGCGUUCUCGGCGGCAGCGCAACAACUAGAACCGUGAGAACGCGUCCAGCAACCGCGACCACGACGACGUCACCUCGGGCACGCCCAAGGAGAAGAAAGCCCAGACCUCUAAGAAGAAGCAGAGCUCCAUGGCCAAGGCGUAGCGGCAGGCGUCCCCCGCAGACCUCCCCAUCGACCCCAGCGAGCCCUCCUACUGGGAGAUGAUCCGCUGCGACAACGAAUGCCCCAUCGAGUGGUUCCGCUUCUCGUGUGUGAGUCUCAACCAUAAACCAAAGCGCAAGUGGUACUGUUCCAGAUGCCGGGGAAAGAACGAUGGGCAAAGCCCUUGAGAAGUCCAGAAAAAAAACAGGGCUUAUAACAGGUAGUUUGGGGACAUGCGUCUAAUAGUGAGGAGAACAAAAUAAGCCAGUGUGUUGAUUACAUUGCCACCUUUGCUGAGGUGCAGGAAGUGUAAAAUGUAUAUUUUUAAAGAAUGUUGUUAGAGGCCGGGCGCGGUGGCUCACGCCUGUAAUCCCAGCACUUUGGGAGGCCGAGGCGGUCGGAUCACGAGGUCAGGAGAUCGAGACCAUCCUGGCUAACACGGUGAAACCCCGUCUCUACUAAAAAUUCAAAAAAAAAAUUAGCUGGGCGUGGUGGCGGGCGCCUGUAGUCCCAGCUAUUCGGGAGGCUGAGGCAGGAGAAUGGCAUGAACCUGGGAGGUGGAGCUUGCAGUGAGCCAAGGUCGCGCCACUGCACUCCAGCCUGGGCGACAGAGCGAGACUCCAUC